UCCUGUUCCUUCUUAUAGCGCACACGCUCACUUUCUCACGCUCGCUCCCUCCCCGCGCCGUUUUCUGACAGGCAAAGGUGCAGGCAAACUACCCAGCCGCAAGCCGGCUUAGCGAAAGGCAACGGCGGGAGAAUUGCGGGGUGGUGCUAUUACUCUGGGGUGGGCGGGCUCGGCACCUGUCACCCCCGCCAGCGGCCAGCGCAAGGGGCGGGGGCGACUCUGGGGGGCCAAAGCCGCCCUCGGUGGGGGUUAGGAGGGGCGCUCCAGACGGCGCUGCGCACCGAUGGCAAAUUCAGUGGGUGAAUGCAUGUCUUAGUUAUCGCGGCUUUUUAGGUCUUUAAAACAAAAAUACAAACGAAAUUAGGGGCAAAAUAAUACUUUGGGUGAACUUUUACCAGCGAUUAUUUUUCGUCUAAUGAAAUUCUGGAUUAUAAUAUUUGACAGGCUCCGCAGCAAAUCUUUGGUCAGUUCCCAUCCACUGAACUCAGUAUAAACGGUACGCAUCCUUCUCCGCUCCAAAAUAGGUCUUUUUUUAAUCUUGCAUUUUAUGUACCCAUAUUCACACUUUUAUUGUAAUUGAAGCAAAAGGAGUUCUUAUCGGGCACUAUGACCUUAAGAGGAAAAAAAAUUUUAAACGACCUACUUCAGGAUUGCACAGCCAAUUCAUUAUAUGUAGCUCAUGAUUUUGUUUGCACUGAAGGAAAAAGCUGCUUCUAUGACAUAGUCAUGGGUUCACACUUAUCAUUUGUUCUCUGAAAAACUUUAUAAGAUUGAAUCAUAUAAAGCCUGUAGUGCUCCUGCCAAAUCAAAACAGAAAAAAAGGGGAAGAACUGAUAUAUUAAUUUUUGGUUUAUAUUAUACAUGAAACUAGGUAUCCAGAGAGCUCUUUCCGGUGGCAUAUUAAACAAAAACCAGAAAGACUGUUAGGGUGGGUUUAGUAGGUUUGGCAGCAAAAUUUCAAACGUUCACUGAGAUAGAAAAAUGUUUUAUAAGUCUGCUUUUCUCCCUGGGGCUACACAGUAAAAAUAAUCACAAUUCUUAAAUACUGGGUUGGACGGGAACUGUUAACUUGCUUAAGGCACAUAGGAAACUGCUAUCUUCCAGGCUGGUUUAGCUACACUCUACCAGGUGGGGAGAAGAAAAGGAACACACAGACUCCAGUUCUCAAAAAUUACCCUAAAAUUCUCAUACUGACAACUUACCUCUGGGAGGCAGAGGGACUUUCAUCCACAUUUUCUAUACUAAUACUGUGCAUUUAUUCACUGAGCAAACAUUUAUGAGCCCUCGUGGCCUUCUAAGUAUGCUGCUGAUGACUUAUCACUGGCAGAGCUCAGAGCUCGAGCAGAAGGACCUGUAGAUGAAAACUGCCACACCUGAAGUAAGUGUUAUAAUGAAAGUACAGGCUAUUGUGGGAACAGGCAGGAAUGGCACCCAAUCCAUAGGCAGUGGCUCUAAUGAAAGCAUUCAGGGAAGGUUUUUUUGGAGGAGAUGAUAUCUGAGUCAAAAUUGUGUAGGAUAAGUAUGAGUUAACCUUGCCAAAAAAAACAAAAAACAAAAAAAUGAAGAGAAGUAUAUUAGGCAAGAGAAGCAGCAUGUGCAAAGAAUUAGCCACGAGAGCCUGUAUCAUAUUCUGGGAGCCUCAAGAAUUGCCAACCACACUGUGAAAUAGACACCUAUUUAGCCAAGUUUAAGAGUUCUGGUUCAAUAUUAGUCUAGUAGUCUUCUGCAGCCUACAAUAUUAGAUUUCUGAAAAUCCCACAAGUAGAAUUCCAUUGAUUUUAUAGAAGACUUCAUAGCACAAAGUCUUUACAGACUUUAUAGAACAAAAUAGGAUCUUAAGUUAUGAAUGAACCACCACGGAAACAAAUAUAUGUAUUUUUAAACUUCAUGAAAAUAACAGCUUAUGGAUAACAUUUUCUACAUCCCUUAUGGAUACUGUACAAAUCAGUUCCUUGUUCUCUAGAAAUUCUAGAAUCAUCCUCCAUGGCAGGUUCAGAGAUAUGCUUACAAAUUAAGCUUGCCUUUUCGCAGAUAAUAUGCCUGCUAAGUGACGUUUUCUUUUUGCAGCAACUCUCCAUCCAGCUCAAUGACCUGGAUUUCUGACUCCCAGGUCCUACUGGGUUUUCAAGGACCCAAAGACUGGAGUCUCAAGCUUCAUACUCAAUUCAGUUCCCUCUCUCCUAAGGGCCAGGAGUGCAGAAAUAAAGGUUCAGGCUUAAAUGUAGGGAAUACAAGUAAGAUUCUGAUAAGGGGAUACCCAGUAAACCAAAUGACGAGUACUAGGCAGUAUGGUGAAGUGCAUUGCUAUGGGAGUUCAGAAGGAAAAGUCAGUUUCACCUGGGCUGAUCAGACAUCAUGGAGAAGAUAGCAUGUGAUUUGGUUCUGAAAGAUGACUAAUAUUCUAGUUGGUAAUGGCAAUGAACUGGUAGAAGAAAAGGUAUUCAUGGGAGAAAGCAACUGUAUGAACAAAACAGUGAGAGAAGGCAACUGCCAGGUGUGUGAAGGUGAGGUUUAUUUGGCCAGAGUUCAGUAGAAGACUCCAACAACAAACCAGGUGUGUGGUAAAACUGGUAAGCUCUUGGGUUGAGGGAGUAGGAGUAGAAAAUAAAGAGAUAGAAGUUUUAAUGGUAAUAAUAAUUACUCAUAUUAUCAUGCUGAAAUGUGCUUCAUUUCAAUUUACACCAAAUACAGAAAUUCUGCUGAAAACACAACCAAGAAUGUGUGAAAUGCAACUGCUCUAACACUGCAGUUUGCUAUAUAUAAUAAACCUGAAGUAUGGUUCUAAAUGUUAGUUCAUGUCCAAUAUGUGCCCAAGUCUUAUUAUUUAUUCUUUGAAACUGUAUCUAGGAUUUGUCUCCUUAUUUCCAUUCCCAUUGCCUUAACCAUAGUGCCAGCUCUCAUCACUUCCCAACUGGAAAGUGGGAAUUCAUAAUUAUAUUCAUUCAUUCCUUCAAGAAACCGUUAUUAACCACCUACCUAACAGGAAGCUGCAGGUACUCUCUUAGUGGCUAGUGGUAACUAAUAGUGGCUGGUAGAGGUUCCCUGGGUAUAUGAAGGACAAACUGCCCUUCAGGGCUUCAUAGUUCAUGCCACCCAACCAGUGUGCCUAAAUCCCCAUUCCGUGGGUAUCCUCCCUUCCCCAAGUCACUUAUUUAUAUCUUCUCUUUAUUUUGCCCAUUAGAUAAAGCCAAAAAAAAAUUUUUUUUUUGGUAUGGUUGUUAAGGCCUCAUAACUUUGCCUAACUCUGUCCAACAUCGUUUCUCAUUAUUGCCUAAGACAAGCUCUUCACUCUGGCUGGUAUGUCUCAUAACCAUCUUUAGAAAUCAGCAUGUCUUUCCUGCUUCCAGAUUUUUAUUCAUUCCUUUUUCUCAGUUCUCCCUGACGGACAGUAUAUUUCUAGCUAACGAAAUGAGAAAUACGACCUCACAGGAAUGUUUUGAAGAUUCAAUAAAACAUUCCAUGUAAAUAUUUAGAAUGGUCUCUAGCCCACAGUAAACAUUCAGUACUUAUAAACUAUUGUUAUUAUCCGUCAAAAUCCAAAUCAAAUAUCAUGUCCUCCACGAAAUUGUGACUACUUAAUCUCUCUGGGUUCUAAUUUUCUAAUAUGAAGAAUGAGUGAGUGGUUAUGUGAAUUCAAAAUAAUUCUUCUUAAGUCUGUACCAUUCUUUCUCAUCUCUGAAUUCCCAUUACACUUCCAAUCAGUAAGAAUAAUACCUACCAUUUACUAUGUGCCAGGCAAUGCGGAAGUACAUUUUAAAUGUAUUAUCUCAUUUAAUUUUCAUGAGAGUCCUCUGAGAUCUGUCCUGUCAUAAAGGUUGCAAAACCUGCCUAUGGUCACAAAGCUGGUGAUGGGCAACGCUGAGACUGAAAUCCCUAGUGUCUGAUUCCAGAGUGAAGCCCCCAUAUCCAGGUUAUAAAGUGAAGCAUGGAGUGAACUACAAGUCAGAAAAAAGAGAUGUUGAAUGUAGCCUUCCCUUUCAAGAGGCUUGGCAAUGAAGGGAGGAGAGGCAGAGACAAAGGGGUAGCUAUUUGGGUCACAGACUGUGUUGUUUUUGAAAGUGGGAGAGAUGUGGGCAUGUUUGUACACUGAAAACAAAGAAUCGUAUAAAUUGAUUAAUGUUAGAACUGUCUUCUGAGGCAGGAAGGAAAGAGGGCAAGAAUGGAUGGUGAUGCAAAGAAGUUACACUCUCUUUGAUUAAACAAUAAGAUUUAAAAAACCAUGAUGCCAGUUUUGCUAGCAGGAGUCUAGAUUCUUCAUUCCUUCAAGCAUUCAACAAAUAUUGAUUGGAUGUUUACUAAGAACUAGGUAAAGCAGUUUGUGCUGCAGAACAAUGAUAAACAAGACAUGAUCCCUAUAGCCUCAUAGAGUUAAUAAUAAAGUGAGAUAUUGCUUUUACAUUUAAUUGAGAAAAAGUGGAAUUAAUUUCUUUAAAAUGUGUGAAUGCAUAAUAAUGAUCUCAACAUGAGAAAAUGAUAUAGGGCUAUAAGGGAGUAUUGUGCAAAAGCACUAAAUUUUCACUUAAAAUUAUUUUUCCUAACUUUCUGCUUCUUAUUUUCAUGAUAAGCUAUAUAAAGCAAUGGCAUCAAAUAAUUCUUCCAACAUAACAUUUAGGAAAAUAAAAACUGGAAAUGCUUUCAUGAUGUGUUUUUCCCCCUCAAGGAAAUAUUGGAAAGUAAGUAUUGCAAUUGUUUUGCAAUGUAUUUAAUAGGGUGUCAAAGAAAUAAUAUCUGAACUGAUUCUUCUACAGAGUUGAUUUAUACAUGGAAUUCUGUAUGGAAUAUUUAAGAUCUAUAUUUGAGAUAAAAUAUUCAGAAUAUAUCCAGAAAUAAUCUAUCUCUACCUUAAAAGAAUAAAGGGAAAAUAUUAAUCUUAGCAAACUGUAGCAGGAUGGACUCAAAGUUAUUUCAGUUUACCUUUAUCUCCAAUACAAAUUUUAACUUGAAAAAAAAAAGAAAAGAAAAAGAAACACAACUCAAACAAAUUGGGCCUGAGAAUGAAUUAGAAUAUUUUUAAAAAUUCGCAAAAUGGUGCCAGCAGUAUUGAAAUUUAAAAAUUAAAAAAAAUAAUACAUCUUGUUGUGAAAUAUAAAAUCCUAAAUUUGUAGAAAAUCUAUUAUGAACCCAGCAAGGAUUUUGCCAAAAUGGUCUAAAUUUUCUCUGGAAAGAAAAAAGGUGAUUAGGUAAGUUUAACCAUUUUGAGGACUGGGCUUCCUUAAUUCCCAGGUCCCACACAUGAUCUGAGCUUUUCUUCCCCAGUCCUAGUAGGCAGUUGAUGAGACUUCUGUGGCAUUAUUUUAGUGAGGAUGACACUAGACUACUGGAUGCAGUUGGAUGCAUAAGUGGGAGUUAUAAACAGGAAAUCAUUUGAAACUUGAAUAACAAUUUAGUACUUUAGAGGAAUGUCACACAUUCCAACAAUUAAUUUGCCAGAAGAAUAAAAGCCCGCCUUAGAAAACAAGGAAAUUGAAGAACUAAAACAUAUAUAUCAUAUUUGGUAGUAUUUAUCUAAACUGAAUUUUGUUAAAUUAGUGUUAACUCAUUUAAUGCAGUGAGUGGAACUUACUGACAGACUACUGUGUACAGCCCAGGUGUUAGUCCAAGGUUGUAAGGAGCAAAGACAUAAAAAUGAGCAAGUUAGGAGAGAAGAGAGGAGCGGACCGGGGGAGGAGGAGGAAAAGGGAGGGAGGGAAAGGGAAUGUAGUAACCUUUUAGGUGUCUUACAGUCUGAGCACAUAAAACAUCCUAUAGUUGAGCUUUAGUUUUACUAAGCAACAUAAACAAAUCAGUAUGGUAUAAAUGGUACAUAGGGUGAAGAAAUGAAACUUGGAGAAAAGCGAAAAACUGUUCAUGAAGUAGAAAUUCAUAUUGGAAGGUUUAUAUCAAAUUUAUUAGUGGGUGGUAGACAAAAAACAAAAAAGAUUGGGAAGAGGCCUUUCAAGAGAGAGAGACUUUUUGAGUUGCUAUCAUUGCUUUUAUGACUCAAGGCAGGAAAUCAUUUUCCUUUUGAAACGUGGGGCACAGAAUUAUCUUCUCUAUCAUCUAAUAAGUUAGUAUUAGUGAAAUUAAAGUUUUACUUUCACUGUAUUCUUUAUGAUACGUUGAGCAACUGCUGUGCCGAUUAGUUAGAUAAAUACUCUAAAUCCAGUUUCUCCUCUCUUCCGGAGUAGGGAAGGGAAAGUGACGAUUUCAACCGCAAGGACUGAGAUUAUAGGUGUGAAGAAUGAUUCAUGGAGGAGGAGAAGGGCAUGGAGAACAGAGCCGGAGAGAUACGAACAUCGAGGAGGCAGCAAAGGGACAAGAGCCAGGAAAAGAACAGAGAAGGAGAGACAAGAGGCUGGGAGAAGCACAGAGAGAAGCUGGGUGAGGUAAAUGUUUCAAGGAGGACCAAAAAGGUUAAUGAGGAAGACCAAAAAGAAUGAGGCCGUCACUGGAGAUCAUGCCAGCAAGAUUUCUAUAGGACACUGUGGGCGGAAAAUAUACUCUGGUGAGUUGAGAUGUGAACUGGAGGAGUCAUAGGCCGAGUGGUGCCUGAAGCAUGUUAAUUAAUCAUUUACCAGGCAAGCCAAAGCCAAGUAAAAUUUUGAAGUGAUUUCCCAAUACUUUUUCUGUGAUAGUUUUCUUGUUACUUGCCCACAGGAGUGAGAGCACCUCAAGGCCAAAAAUCAGCUUAGCUUCAGGACAGAGCCAGGGACACAGCGUGGCUAACAUCAUCAGCACCUCCCACAUUAGACAUUAAAAGAGAAUACAUUCCAUUAUUUCACAAGUCUUUACAAAAUCCUAGUUACAGGAGGAAGUAAAACUUAUCUUCCAUCUUUAAAGUUGCAGAAACUAGUAAACAAAAAACCAACCCAAUUUGCUUAAAUGAGUUACUAAUAAGGACAUAAGUCAUAUCCAGAUCUUAAGAUUUCUUCUGAAUUAAGUUUCCCAAACACUAGACUCAUAAGCCAAAAAUUAAACACAGGUACACUGUGGUAGCACAUAUGUAGCACCUGGGUGGCUCAGUUAACUGUCUGACUCUUGAUUUCAGCUCAGGUCAUGAUCUCGUGGUUCAUGAGUUUGAGCCCUGCAUUGGGCUCUGCACUGACAGCCUACAGUCUGCUUGGGAUUCUCUCUCUCUCCUUCUCUCUCUGUGCACCCCCAUCAAAAUAAAUAAACAUUAAAAAAAAAAAAGCAGUAAGUAAGAAAAAUACUAUUAUAUAUAUUUUUUAAAAAUGUAUAGGCUCAUAAGGCAAAGGAUCAGGACAACUGCAGAAAAGAAAUCUUACAAAUGCUUAUUACAGUAUUUUCCAAAUUUAUCUGACCAUGCAACCCCUUACUAUGUACUAUCAAUUAUUACCUUUAGUUCUAUAAACACACACUUUGGGAAAUUCUAAUCUAGGUAAUUCAAGGAAAUAAAAGUUUUUUUUCUGAUCAAGUUAUUCCUUUAAUUACUUGAGAAGUCUGACAUGUGAACUUUGAAAAAAGCAUAAUGAUCUUAUAAAUGUAAAGUAUUAUCCUUAUUAUCAGUUAAGACUUUUAUCCUGCUAAAACCAGUGUAAAAUAAGACAUUUAAGUAUAAAAAUGAACAGAAUUCUGACACAGAAUUUAGCAGAUUGCUAUACUUUGACAAUAUAUUGGGUAUUUAAUACCAAAUAAACCAAAAUAUUUAGCUAUGUUUCUGUCUAAAACUUUCUCUGUUAAAAAGAACAUGGUGAACCACUUUGAUUCAGAGAUUUCUAUUCUAACUUAAAACUCUUGGAGCUGCAGUUUCUCCAUCAGUGAAAUAGUAAUCAACAGAAUCUACUAUGUAGGUUGAUACAUUGAUUCAAUAGAAUCAUUAAUGCAAAGAGUUUAUCAGGAACGUGACACAAAAGCAAUGCUCAAUAACCAUGAGCGAUUUUUUUUUUUAUAAAUUUUUUUUUCAACGUUUAUUUAUUUUUGGGACAGAGAGAGACAGAGCAUGAACGGGGGAGGGGCAGAGAGAGAGGGAGACACAGAAUCGGAAACAGGCUCCAGGCUCCGAGCCAUCAGCCCAGAGCCUGACGCGGGGCUCGAACUCACGGACCGCGAGAUCGUGACCUGGCUGAAGUCGGACGCUUAACCGACUGCGCCACCCAGGCGCCCCCACCAUGAGCGAUUUUUAAAGGACAUUUUAAUUCUAUUUUAAAGAAUUGUAAAGACUUUCAAAAUUCUUACCUAAGGACACAAAACAAAACCAAGCUAAAAAGUCCUCACAUGAAACCAAAGUCCAACAAGAUACACACACACACACACACACACACACACACACACACAACUAAUUUAGAUAAAACAUUACAUUCAUCUUCUAGAUUUUUUUUUGUUUUGGGGUGCCUGGAUGGCUCAGUCCGUAAAGCGUCAGACUUUGGCUCAGGUCAUGAUAUCACCGCUUGUGACUUCCAGCCCCACGUUGGGCUCUGCGCUGAGAGCUCAGAGCCUGGAGCCUGCUUCGGAUUCUGUGUCCCUCUCUUGCUCUGCCCCUCCCCCACUCGUGCUUUGUCUCUGUCUUUGUCUCUCUCUCUCAAGAAUAAAUAAAACAUCAAAAAAAAUUAGAUUUUUUUUGUUUUGUUUCCCUUUAGUAACUUUGUAUCAUUCCUAGGUUUAAAUCUACAAGGAGCUCUGGUGCACCUUUCCCCCCAUUGACAAAUGACUCACUGAACUCAGUGACUACUCAAUCUCCAGAUCUGGUCAAGCAAGCUCCCCAGGGGGUCAGAGCCUCUCUGUACAAGCUGCUACUGUUUCCCUUAGGCUGAGUGCUUUGUGUAAAAACAGUCAAAGGAUAAGUAACAUUUUUGACUCCGAGUAGCAACAUGGUACAGUAAGUAAGUCCAGGCAUCAUGUGCUAAAAGGAAUACUGGCAUCCAUGUUUAAAGCUCUGGAUGCUAAUCUAAUAUCUACCAGUUCCCAGCAGUAUGAUCCCAUAGAAAUGAUUUAGUUUCUAAGACUUAAGUAUCUCAUAUACUUAGUUUAAAGAAUACUUGUUUUCCUCUCUUUUAGGCCAUUAUGAAGAACAAAUGAGGUAAUGUAGUGAAAAAUUUUUGACAGCUACAAAGUACUAAACAAAUAUUAAGGAAGAAUUUAUUAUUUCAAUUUCACUGUAGUGGUUAGGAAGGGCAUACACAUACCCUUGCCCCAAAAUAGCAUAUUGGAACAGAAAAUCCAUGACCUGUCCAAAUCAUGCAGUUGAUCAUAGAAGAUUGUUGGCAGACUGAGGGGGCUUUGGACAUUUCCUUAAAUGGAAAAUCUUGAACACAAUACCAAAUUCACCCAUUUCAUUUAUUUUUCAAUAAUCUUUUUUUGCCCCUUAAAACCUAUCAUAAGUUUGAAUUAUUCUAAGAAAUGUACCUGUAUUCUAACUCUUACAAUUAUAAAUUUUUAAUUUUAAUAUAUUUUUCUCAAAAAUUACUCUUUAUCAUCACUCCAUUUAGAACAGAAAAUUAAUAAAAAUGUUUUCCCUGAAUUUUCUCUGCUCACUAAUUUCCCACAUUUUAUUAUUUUUAAUUUAAAAGCAUUUUUAAAAUAUUUGUUUAUUUUUGAGAGAGAGACAGAAAGAGAGAGACAGAGCACAAGCAGGAGACGGGCAGAGAGAGAGGGAGACACAGAAUGCAAAGCAGUCUCCAGGCUCUGAGCUGUCAGCACAGAGCCCAAUGUGGGGCUCAAACUCAUGAGCUGUGAGACCAUGACCUGAGCUGAAGUCAGAGGCUUAACUGACUAAGCCACCCAGGCAGCCCAGUUUCCCCCAUUUAAAAAGCAGCAUUUAAGGUUUCUACCAGAUGAUACACCAAUAAAACAAAUGGCUAAUAUGUAGUGGUUAAAAUACUAACGCCAGAAUCAGAGGUGAUUUGGGUUUGAUUCUCAACUCUGCUUUUUCCUAGCUCUGUAAACUUAAAUUAUUACUUCUUUGAGUUGCAAUUUUCUCCUCUGUAACAUGGAUAUAGUUCAUGCCUCCAAAUAUUGUUUGGUAUAGAAACCACGUAACCAAAUUUACUGAGUUCUUACUGUGGCUGGCUGCUUUACAUACAUUCUCUUAUUAAAAUUUUUUUUUUAAUUUGUAAAAAAAAAAUGUCAGCACAGAGCCCGAUGUGGGGCUCGAACUCCAAACCAUGAGAUCAUGAACUGAGCUGAAGCCAGAUGCCCAAGUGACUGAGCCACCCAGGUUCCCCUGCACUAUCUCAUUUAAUCCCUACAAAAUUUUACAAUAUAGUUUCUGUGCCUGUUAUUAUAGUAAGAUUCCAAUAAGAAUUAUUAGAUAAUACUAUUUCACCAAAAAAGCUGAGCAUUUUUCUUAAAAACAGAUAAGGAAUAGUUUCCAGUAUAGGUUGGAAAGUUGGUUGCCCUGGAGAGGCUGAACCAGGUCCUAAUUACCUUCAUUUUAAUAUAAAUACUAAACGGGGUAUACACUAGCUGUUCGGUCCUUAUUUUCUUCAAACAGAAAUACUCAAAGCCCAAACCUUAAAAAGAAGGAAAUGCUAUCUGAAUAAAAAAGCGUUCCUUCUCCCCCAAUUUUUUAAACCCUAUCUUUUGUCCUUCUAGUCACAAAAAUGCUAGCGCGCGCGCACGCACACACACACACACACACACACACACACACACACACACACCCUUAUAUCAGGUUUGUAGCAGACACUACUGUGUGUGUUCUGUUCUUCCAUCUUAACAGAACUCUCUGUCUUUAUUUUUUUGCAUUGUUCCAGAAUCUGUGCUUCUUCAAAUACACUUUCAUGGUCUACUUGAAAAUUAACAGUUCUUCAGGAGUAAUUUUGAACUACAUUCUGUCUAAUGGUCUUUCUUAAAAUUGUUUUCUCAAUUCUCAGUGGGAAUAAAAAACAAAACAAUUUUAAGUAUAGAGAAAAGAAUCUAACUUUAUAAUGAUAGCAGUGCCUCUGUUAUGUGCGUUUUUAAGACUAUUUUUAGAAAGAAAGAAAAGGUUUUUAAGCCAUGUUACAUUUUAUAAUUGAGUCAUCAAUGAAUUAAAAAAUAACUCAUGCUUGGCUAUCUCAUCUGUAUUAAAUAGUUAUUCACGAACAUUUUACGUUAAAAGAUGUAGGUUCUAAUCCUGCUUCUUAACACCAAUUAGCUGUGUAAUCUUGAUCUUAAUGUCCUUGGGCCAUUUGAAAAAAAUGGACUUUGAAAAAAAGCACUAAGACUUGAUCCCUCCCAACUUUCCGACUGUCAAACUGUAUGAACAUCUUGCCUUUUCCAUAGUUGGUAGAAAAAAAAUGAGGAUAUGUGAAAUUUUUUAAAUGUAAAAGUCUAAGAAAAGAUAAUUAAAAUUGAGAUAUAUGAUUUGAAGUAGCUUUGCCAUAACUAUGGUCAAAUGUGAUCUGAGAAAUCCAUGUAGCUUAAAAAGAUAUCAUUAAAACUGGAAAAUAAGGAUUGAGAAUUAUUAUCUAAAGAAAGAGACAAGGUUCAAAAUAAAAGCUGAAGCAGAAAUGAUCAAAAUAAUUAAAUCUAGUAAUAGGGCUGCAAUUAGUCUGAUAUUCUCACUGGAAAAGUACAGGGAAUUUCUAUGUAAUAAAUCAAGAAAAUAACCCAAUGCUAUUAUCCUGGCACUAAGAAAAAUACCAAAUAGAAACAACCAGAACAAUAAUAGUAACAAUUUAACCAGUUCAACAAUUUAAGAAGUAUAAAGAGUACAUUUAAGUCUUUACAUCAAAAAACUAGAUUAUUUCAUACACUUUAAUAAAUUUUCCUAAUGUUUUAAUUAUUGGCCCCUGCCUCUGUGCAAGCAUUGUAUUAUGAACCAUGGGAGAUACAAAAGAAAAAGAUGUUAUUUCCUUUAAUGGACUUAGUUCCUGUAAAAACAAACAGGGUAUGUCCUGUGUGUACAUACUGGUGUAUCCUAGUUUGAAAGGUAAUGUUAAAAAUUUUUUAUUUUUAUAUUUUUAAAUUUACAAAUGAUUGAAAUGAAAUAUACAGAAAAUGGUUCAUAAACUUAUGGAGCUAUUUGUUUUUAUCUCCUUUCAUGUUAUUUAAGAACCAAACAUUUAUUCAUCAUUUCAAAUUUUCCUUAAUGAAGGUGGAAAUCAAUAUUCAACAAUUAUGGAAUAGUCAGCCCCCAGUUUAUGUGGCCAUUUAAAGUGAAGUAUAGGAGUGCCAGAGUGGCUCAGUUGAUUAAGCGUCCAGCUUCGGCUCAGGUCAUGAUCUCACUGCUCUGUGCUGACAGCUCAGAGCCUGGAGCCUGCUUUGGAUUCUGUGUCUCCCUCUCUUUUCCCAUCCCCCGCUCAUGCUCUGUCUCUCUCUCUUUCUCUCAAAAAUAAAUAAACAUUAAAAAAAAUUUUAUUGUGCCUUGGUGGCUCAGUCGGUUGGGCAUUAGACUUCAGCCCCGGUUUGUGAGUUUGAGCCCCGCAUCAGGCUCUAUGCUGACAGCUGAGCCUGGAGCCUGCUUCACAUUCUGUGUCUCCCUCUCUGUCUGUCCCUCCCCCCCCCCACAAAAAAAACAAAUAGACAUUAAAAAAUUUUUUUUUAAUUUUCUUCAAGUGACAAGUAUAACGUAUUAUGUUAAUACAAGGAAAGAAGCAUACAUAAAGGUGAAAUGAGGCAAUAAAAAGCAGGACAUGAAGGGCAAUCCAUGCAGAGAUCACAGCCUCCUAAACAUGUGUGGUGGGCACUGAGAGAAUCUUGAAGGAACAAAGAAAGUUUCUCUGUAAGUGUGUGGUAUAUGAACAGUUUUAUACCAUCUUCCUCUUACAAUGGAAGAGAGAGAUUUUCUGGUGGGUGUAACGGAGCAUUCACAAUGGUAAAUUCCAGAGCUAAAAAAAAAAAAAAAUCUAAAGGGAAACUUCUAAUUUUCUAUUCUUCCUAUCACGAACCAUCCAAACUUCUAAAAAUGUUAGUAAAAAAGUGAAUUUCACCAGAAAAAUAUGGAAUUUAGGAUAGUCUCAAAUUUUAUAUAGAAAGAAAAAUUCCAUUUGAAAGUACCAAAAUAUCAUAGUCAUAAAAGGCCAAAACUUAAAAUUCCAUAUAUUUGUGUGUAAAAUAGAAUGUAUAUUAAAAUUUGUAUUCAUUAUUUAACUAAAAUUUUAUUUUCAGGUGUUUUCUCAUUUUUUUUUUUUGUACUAGUUCCUUUAGACACAGUGUAGCUGAACAAGGGUACUUUGAAAAAAUGCAAAAUAGUUAAGAGUCAUAAAGGUUUUUCAAACGAAAACCAAUUGCUUUCAAAUUGAAAUUUAGACAUUUUCAAAUCUAUAUGAACACUGAAAGGAAAUAAUACAUAGACAACUGUUUAUUUCUAUGCUCUUAAAUAAACAGUGAUGUUAUUCUGCCACCAGCCAGCCUGUUACUUUUCUUCUUUUCUCUCUUAAUUUAUUCAUUUCUGGGAAAAGAACACUAAGUUAUUAUUAAUAUAAGUAGCCUUAUAGAUGCAAAUUCAUAAUUGUCAAGAAAUAUUACAGAAGCAAAUGCCCUACACAUUCUUUUAACUUUUCAGUGCCCUCAUGCUGCCCCCUGCUGCCCAGUGUCCACACUUACUGAAAACUGUCCCACAUUUUUCAACCUUUUCUAUUCCUCUUCAUUCCCCCCAUCAAAACUUACCUGGCCAGAGAUCUAGACCAUUGAAGUUUUCUUCUACUCAGGCUAAUAGGCAAACAGUGAUGUAAGAAAGAAGCAGUUUCCUCCUAUUUAUCCCAUCACCAUUUUUUGGCUAAUUACAAACACUUGAAUUGGUAUUCUAUUGGCAAUAACGGACAUCCAGAUUCCCUAGCUUGGGAUUCCGAAUCCUCCUUGUGAUGGCUCCAAGCUACCAUCACAGGUCCAUUUCUCCCAGUUUCUGCCCCCCCCCCCCCAUUAUAGCUUACUUUGUACCUACACUGGACUUCUAGCUGGCAUCUCCAAAUGCCAUGUGUUUUCUCUCCUCCUUGCCUGUGCUCACAUGGCUUUCUUUACCUGGAAUGUCUUUUCUCAGUUUCUACAUGUUAAAGCCUACUGUCUUUCAAGGCCCUAGUCAAAAGUAUCUUUCUCCAUGAAGUCUACCCCAUUUGUCAUUGGCUUUUCCCUUCUCCCUAAUCCUCUAAGGCUCAGCACAAUGUUGUUGCUGUUGUUUUUAAUACAGUAGAAACUCAACAAAUUUAUUGAGAUAUAUUUAGUGAACAAAAUGCAGGUAACAAAGGAACCUUAAUCAUUACAUUGAAAAGGAUCUCUGACUUUACUGACAUUUUACUGGGAUUUACUGACUUUUAAGUGUAGCUACGGAGGAUAAUGGGAGCCUCCCUAAUACUGCGAUAUCCAUACACCUGAAUGGGGUUAUCUUUUUAAUUCCCAACACACUGCACAAAGCCUAUUUUGAUCACUGACAUCAAGGGGGGGGUCUAUGAUAAAAUGAACUUAGAGCAUAUACUGAGUGCUUAGACAUGUCAGGUGCUAUACUUGGUGCUUUAAGUGCUUUCCCUCAUUGUAGUCUCACAAAACCAGGUGAGGUAGGUGAUAUUACCUUGUUUCAUAGAAGAGGAAACUGAGGGUCUGCACAAUUAAGUAACUGGCCCAAGGUUAUACAUGUAGUCAAGGGCAGAGCUAGGACUCAAACAGAUCAGGAAAAGCUGUGUACUUAAAUUGUUCUCAUAUGUCUUCAAUAGAAAUGUGUAUGAAGAAGCCUCUUGUCAGCUCUUGUGAGGGUUAAAAAAAAACAACAACCUUGUCAGUAGAAUAUGCUUGGAAAUUGUGAUCAUAUAUUCAGACAAAGCCAUGAAAGAGAUUGUGUCAAUUAAGUAACUCUUAGUAUAUCCAAGAGUUGAUUGUCCUAUACUACAGUAUGUGAAGGAUUCUGCCAAGUUCAAAGGUGUCUAGAUUUAGAUAUAAAUAUAGAUAAAACCUUUAGAUAAAACCCUUUAUAUCUAAAGGAUAUAUUCUAAAGGAUUAAGAAAUGCACAACCUAUAAAUAUUUGUUCAUUGUUGUAGCCACUUGUGUGUGUGUGGAUCAAAGAUCCUAACCUGACUUGGAAAAAGGUCCAGAAAGGUAUGACUCAAUAUCUUGAGCAAAUAAUUUUACUUUUUUUUGAUACAAUGAAUAUAAAUAAGGCUCAGCAUAUUACAUUAGUGUCUCAGACACAGAUACAGUGUGCUGCAGCCAAAACCUCUUCUCAUCUAGACACCACAAUAAGCUGAGAAGGCAGAUAAAAUUUUUCACUUGGGAAGGCAUCACUCCAAAAUUUUUUGGUAGGACAUAAUUGGUUUGUUAGACUCAUUCUAAAUCUUUCUGGGGUUAAAAUAUUCUUAGUAGGUAAGACAUUCUUAGUAGGUAAGACUCUUUCAACUCCAGAAAGAUGUAGAAUAAGUACAAAAGUGUUUUGUAAGAGCUCAGCCUAUUAGACUUUUAAGUAUAAUUCCUACAAAGUUAUAUGUGUGUUGAAACAUUAAAGAGAACUUAGUCACCAUACUUAGAAGUUAAAUUUAUUAGAUAUGUAAGACUUUCUUAACUUCUUGAAAAUGUUUAUGCAGUAAGUUUAUAAGUGCAGUAUAAAGGGGAAUAAAGAGUUGGAAAGCAUUUAAGUAAUACUAUAAAUAAGACCAAAAUUUAAAGGACCAUGAUUUCUAAAACUUGCAAGAUUUAUAAAUAUGAUAAGAUUUGUAAAUUAAAUUUAAAACACAAGGAAGAGCUUCCUUGGAUAUUAACUUUAAUAAACUUCACAUUAUUUUUUAAAAACUCAAAUUAAUUUCAGAAUAGUCUUUUAGUAUGCAAGACUAACAGUGGCUAUUGGGCCGUUUUUCUUCCAGCUGAUGUUGUGUUCAUUAGGCAGUCAAUGCUUUAUCCCACAGAAUUGGCCUGACUGUCCAGUUAUUCUUUAAUUUGGUUUGAACCUUCCUCACUUUACAGGAGAUGGAUUGUAGCUUUUGAAAUAUUAAGAUGAGAUGUAGCAGUUCUAAAUCUACUAACCUCUUAAAUUUUUGGUUUAGGGCUUACUUCAGUAGAGUGAGUAACUUAGCAAUUCUCAACCCCAGCUGUGUAUCAGAAUCCUGUGAGUCACUUUUGGAAAAUGCUUAUGCCGAGAUCUGAUCUUAGACCAACCAGAAUCUCUGGGGAUGUGGUGCAGGCAUUUUGUUUUUAAGUUUCUGGAUGAUUCUAACUACAGGAGGAGUUGAGAAGCACUGGUGCAACAGUGUGAGCCUGCCGUAGCCUGAAGAACCAGUGCUGUCCAACGGAAUUUUCUGCAAUCGUGGAAACUGCUAUAGAUUGAAUGCUUAUGUCCCCCCGAAGUCAUAUAUUGAAAUACUAAAUCCUGAUGUGAUGGUGUUUGGAAGUGGGGUCUUUGGGAGGUGAUUAGGUCAUGAGGGUAGAAAUGUCAUGAAUUGGAUUUGUGCCUCUGUAAAACAAACCCCAAAGAGCUCCCUUACCUCUUCUGCUGCGUGAGCACACAGAAGGCAAAAAGACAGACAUCUAUGGACCAGGACAUUAUGACCCUCACUGGACACUUGAAUCAGCCAGCACCUUGAUCUUGGACUUCCAGGCUCUGUAGCUAUGAGCAAUAAAUGUUUUUGUUUGCUUGUUUAUAACCUACCCAUGCUAUGGUAUUGUAAUAGCCUGAACAGACUAAGAUAGAAAUGUUCCAUGAAUCUGUUGCUCAAUAUGGUAGCCACCAGCCAGGUGUAGCUACCAAAUUUUUAAUUUUAAUUCUAAUUUAAACUUACAUAGUUACAGGAGGCUCUUGACUACUGUGUUGGACAGCACAGUUUGUCAGGUUCAGACCAUUUAAAAUGCUCUAAGUUUAUCAUCAUAUGGAUGCUGAAUGACUCUUUUUUGAUAGUGGACCACACCAGUCCACCCUUACUACUCUUGUCUCUUCAGGGUACUUCACAUUAGCUUCCUGAUGAAGCCUCUAGUGGUUUGAAAGGAUAGCUCAAAGUUUACAUCGGCUUCUGGGAAUGUUAAGGACAUUGAAUCUGCCUUUUACUCAUUUAUGUUGGCAGUUUGUUUCUUGGACUUUCUAUUUUAAUGAAAAACGAACAAAGGCCUUCAGAAAUAAAAAUUUCUUAAGUGUUAAAGCACUGGAGCAAUUAAACUCUUUGCAAAGGUCCUCUUUGCUCCUUGGCAUGUGAUAGUGUUUUUCAACUAGAGGUUGUGACCUUUGUCUUGGAGGUUGGAGAGUUUCCAGUGGAUUGGGGCAGCAGCCGCCUGAGUUUCAAAGCUAAAUAUAGGUCAUUGGCAUGGCAGCCUCUUUCUCAGUCUCAUCGAAACCAUGUCCUAUUAAUGGAUGUGGGGCAUUAAUGGCUGGUGGGAUAAAAUCUUGAGAAAAAACAGAAAAAUGCCAUGGAUAUAGAAGUCUUUCUCAGAUGUAAGUUGCUAUUGAGCACAACUAAGUUCUAUUUUUACCUACUUUUAAAAAUAAUUUGUAAAUUGUAGAUUGCUACUUAAAAAAGGCUAAAAAUACACACAUAUAUGAUUUGUUGGCAAAUAAAUCUGAAAUGUGAUAUUCAUGCUGAGGCAUAAGAAGACUCUUCCCUUUAGGUCAUUGCUCAAUUCUCACCCUUUCAGUGAGGCUAUCCUGACAACCCUAUUGAAUAUUUCAAUGUGUGUUUAUUCAUGUAUUUGCCAAAUAUUAAAUGACAUCCUCUUAAGUUUGGCAUAUUUCAAAGGCAAACUAUUUAUCAUGGCAGGUACCAUCCAACUCUCUAGAGCAGGGUCUCAAAGGGUGGUCCCUGGGGACCAACAGCAUCAGCAGCACCGGCAGCAUCUGGGAGGUUGCCAAAAAUGUAGCUUCUCAGGCUCCACCUCCACCAAUCGAGUCAAGAACCCUGGGUGUGGGGUCUAGCAAUCUGUGUUUUCAGUGAUUCUGGGCACACUAAAGUUUGAGAUCCACUGAUCUAGAGUACAGUGAAUCCCCCCAAAAUAUCCCAGGGGGUAAACUUCCAUACAUCCCCAACGUGGCUAAGACUGAAACAUUCUGUACAUAAAACUGAACUUGGAAGCUGUGAAAUAGAUGCCAAAAUUCUAUUGGGACAUAGUGCUAUGAAUGAUGUAUUUACCCAAUUCAACUAAGCCUCACGGAAUCUCUAGGCUUUGAAAUUUUUCUUCCCUAUAAAAACCCAACUUCUGACAGAAUUUCAUGAGAUAUUCCUGAAGAGACAAGAUGUGGUACAAGUGUGCCUUCAGCAAACUCAACGUACAAAAAUCAGAUAUAUACACAGCUGGAAAGUUAGGUGGCCAAUUACUGUUUUAACAAAAAUGUUACUAGAUUUAUUUAAACAGUGACAUCAUAUAGUGCUUUUAAAAGAUGUCCAUUUACAUAACAUAAAUUUUACAAAUGUCUAAUGUGAUAGUAUAGAAGAAUAGGUAAGUACACAGCCUCUGAUUUCAAACUUCCCAGGUUCAAACUCCAGCUUUUUCAUUUACUAGGUAACCUGAGCCAAAUCUCUAAGCCUCAGGUUCUUCUUCUGGAAAAUGGGUAUAACAAUUGUCCAAUAACAAUUGUCCUAUUUCCAAAGUUUGUGUGAGAAUUUAAGGAUAUAACAAAAAAGUAGAAUUUAGAUAGAAGCUGGAGCAAAGUAGGCUCUGAUUAAAUGUUUGUUUUCAGUGUGUGUGUGUGUGUGUGUGUGUGUGUGUGUGUGUGUGUUUUAAUUAGCUGCCUUUGUGCCCAGUCUGGUCUCUGUGAAAACAGAUAUUAAGUUUUAUCAUUCAAGAAGUUCACACAAAGCAGUUAAAAUUGAUACAAAGCAAAUAGAAGCUAACCAUAUUGAGCACUGGAUACUGAGAAGGUAUUCAUUCUUUUAAGAGCUCUUGCCUAGCCAAACCAAUCAUGAGAAAUUUCAUCUCUUUAUCAUGACUGGGUAAGGUAUGAACACAUCCUACAAACCUAGUCAAUGAGCUGUAAGAAGCAUGGUGCUGUGAGCCUCUGGGAAAGAAUUUCUUCCCUUAUAAAAAGAUGCAUUAAGAGAAACUCUCUUCCCUUUGGAAAUUGUAAUAUCAGGCUAUGAUGCUUGGAGCUGCAGCAGUCAUAAUGUGCCUAUGAGGAAAGACAUUGCUGACAUUGUGGCAAUAUAAAAAAAUGUAAACUGCUAAGGAGCUUGGUAACAUUGUUAAGCUAUUGAACCAAACCUAGAACAGGCUUGCUUCCUGUUAAUGAUUUAGUUGAAAUAAUAAAUGUCCAUAUUUUUUAUGCCACUGUCAGUAAGGUUCUAUGUUAGUACAAAAGCAAACUAAAUGGCAUAAUACAUCUAGCUAGUGUGGAUUGAUUGGCUCUAUAGGAAAAAAAAAUUAUUACUUUAUUCUUGAGGUCAUCUUAAACCAUAUAUAGAGAAUCCUUAAUGAAGAGCCUUCUGCUCAAUAUCAUCUGCAUAUAACAACAGUCUUCUUUUUCUAAACAACUUUUUUUUUUUUUACAUUUUAUUUAAUUAUUUUGAGAGAGAGAGAGAGGAGGAGGAGCAGAGAGAGAGAGGGAGAGAAUCCCAAGUAGGCUCCACACUGUCACUGCAGAGUCCCAUGUGGGGCUCAGUCUCAUGAACCACAAGAUCAUGACCUGAGCCGAAGUCAAGAGUUAGGCGCUUAACCGACUGAGCCACCCAGGUGCCCCAUAACAGUGGUCUUAAUUUCCUGCUCCAUAUCUGAUGUGCUUAACUAAUUAACUAUUAGCCAAAUGUGUAAUUAUGUUACUUUUGUAGAUUAAAAUAUUUGUUUUUAUUUAAAAAGUUUCUGUUAUAUAUACCACUAAAACUAUUACAGAUUUUAAAAUAAAAAUAAAUAUUUUAAUUUUGAUAUAAUCCUUUAACACUGUAAUUGUAUUUCCCUGCUUCAUUUCACAGUUUAUAUUAAAUUCAGCAUUUAUUUCAUGACAAUGUGAAUAAAAUGUACAAAAUGUACAAAAUCGGGCUCUACCACAUUUAAAAGUUUUCGUUAAAUGGACCUCACAAGGACACACCCCAAAUUCGUACUACCAGAGUGAUCUUCUCCAUCUCUCUUUUCAAGAAAAUAAGUUUAUGUUUUAUUUCUCA
rnacentral:lncRNA from 1 species